rnacentral:rRNA from 1 species
GACGAACGCUGGCGGCGUGCUUAACACAUGCAAGUCGAACGGAAAGGCCCCUUCGGGGGUGCUCGAGUGGCGAACGGGUGAGUAACACGUGGGUGAUCUGCCCCGCACUUCGGGAUAAGCCUGGGAAACUGGGUCUAAUACCGGAUAGGACCGCAUCGUGGAGGUGUGGUGGAAAGAUUUUUUCGGUGUGGGAUGAGCUCGCGGCCUAUCAGCUUGUUGGUGGGGUAAUGGCCUACCAAGGCGUCGACGGGUAGCCGGCCUGAGAGGGUGGACGGCCACAUUGGGACUGAGAUACGGCCCAG